rnacentral:lncRNA from 1 species
CUUCUCACACCCUACACCAUUGAGCUCAUGCCUCUCUGCGUCGCUACAGAUUUGAGCCGCCAGAAUCGCAUUGGGAAACUAGAUGAGGUCAGUAAGAGAAUCCUGCUGGAGCGCCUCGUCUUGGACAAGAAGAUAUUUUUGACCUACCGCUCCAUCACCGAAAUGGGCAUAGAAGAGAUCAUAUAUGAAGGACUCAGGGCUAAGGGAUGGCCGAGUGUAUUAACGGGGGCGGACGUGAAAAUGUACGGGG